rnacentral:lncRNA from 1 species
AUACAUGCUUGCUAGACUUUGAGCCACACAUUUACUUUUUACUGCUUAUGAGCAUUGAGUGUGGUCAAGUUGUGUAGACCCUUAGGAGCUUGUCAUGUGGUUAAAUCAAGAUUCACUUGCACGUUCACUCACACAUGCUGCUUCUACUCCGGAAGUACACAUCCACAUAUAUCCACCCAUUUCCAUCUCCAGAACCACCCAAAAAUAUUCUACUCCUAAUCCGGGAGAGAAUAGCCAAAAAUAUUUCCAUUUU